AUUGAACGCUGGCGGCAGGCUUAACACAUGCAAGUCGAGCGGGGGAAGGUAGCUUGCUACCGGACCUAGCGGCGGACGGGUGAGUAAUGCUUAGGAAUCUGCCUAUUAGUGGGGGACAACAUCUCGAAAGGGAUGCUAAUACCGCAUACGUCCUACGGGAGAAAGCAGGGGAUCUUCGGACCUUGCGCUAAUAGAUGAGCCUAAGUCAGAUUAGCUAGUUGGUGGGGUAAAGGCCUACCAAGGCGACGAUCAGUAGCGGGUCUGAGAGGAUGAUCCGCCACACGGGGACUGAGACACGGCCCAGACUCCUACGGGAGGCAGCAGUGGGGAAUAUUGGACAAUGGGGGGAACCCUGAUCCAGCCAUGCCGCGUGUGUGAAGAAGGCCUUAUGGUUGUAAAGCACUUUAAGCGAGGAGGAGGCUCUUUUGGUUAAUACCCAAGAUGAGUGGACGUUACUCGCAGAAUAAGCACCGGCUAACUCUGUGCCAGCCGCCGCGGUAA
rnacentral:rRNA from 1 species